ACAAAUGGGCUGCAGCAAGUACCGGAACUUAAUCUUCAGCAUACCUUUAAUCUCUUCCAUCCACUCCAAUCAUCAGGUACCCCACAAUCUGGUAAUUCAAGAAUUACAACAUUCUUCAAGUUGAAAUCAGAGGGGAAACCACGGCAACGAGACAGCCUAAGCCAUCGGACAUUAGGAAGCAUUUCACUGAAGUCCCCAGGCAGCACAGUAACGUUCACGUCAAGGUACCUUAACCUUGACAACUUCUCAAAAUGUUUGCUCACAAUGUCAUGUCCCCAUGGCAUCCUAACCCUAAGCAUUUCGACUCGAUCAGUUGCCUGUCAAAUGAUGAAUUAAAUGCAUUCAGAAUCGACUCGUUCACAUCCAAAUGCAAAUCAUAGUACAUAAUUUUACUAUUGUCUGUAAAUGACAUGAAACUUUUAAGUACAUACCUCCCCAUUUGUCAGCAUGUUCAUGACAUCCAUGCUAGACCAUAUCCUGCUGCGCUUGGAUGGACAUUCAAUAUCUUCCUUGGUAACGAUGGCUCUACCAAGAUCUCUGAGAUGAUCGUGCAUCCAGAACUGAUUGAUUUCAUCAAUUUUUAUCAAGGAUCUAAGAACAAGAGUCCUAAUCCCACUUUCUGGAUAAAAUUUACAAUCGCUCCACAUAUGGACGGGCGAUUCUUUAUCCUCUCCGAUGAAAAAGCAGGCAAUGUCGAGAAAGAUUUGUUUUUCCUCAUAGGUCAACUCAUUAUAGCUAAUCUUCAAGCUCUGCUGCACCUUAUCAAUAGUAGUCAAACCCUCUCUCCACUCAACGACAAGGCAGGUUAGAGAUGAUGGGAGGAAACCAUCUGGAUUUAGCAACAGGCUACCUCGGGAAAUGCAAUUGCCCACCGUCAAAGUCUUCAACUUAGUUAGCUGCCAUACAUCCGCGGGAAUUUCAGGAACCCCCCAGCAAUUCUCAAAGCAUAGGUCCUCCAGGUGUUUAAGCUCCAGAAGAUUGGGGACCCAAGGGGACGAUAUGGUUAGGCGUUUUAAGCUUGUAGGGAGCAUAGGUACUUCUUCGCCUCGCCAGGCCACUUUCCCUGUUUUAAUCUCUUCAAGUUUUAGAAGCUUUCCCAUGUCACCUGUUAAUGAUAUUUCAGUUUGCUGAAGCCUGACCACUUUCAGAUUCCUAAAAUUACUGAUGUUGAGCUCCCCCUUCACUUCUUCACAAUCAGUCAGAUCUACCGACUCUAGGCUCACACAUUGGGAAAGGUCCGGCACUCUUUCGAACUCAUAACAGCCACGUAGGUUUAUAACUUUCAGCUUGUUUGCCACCUGCAUCAACAGAAACACAAUCAAUUUAAUCAAUCAGGUUCGGAUAGGAGUCCAGGUACACAAAUGGGCUGCAGCAAGUACCGGAACUUAAUCUUCAGCAUACCUUUAAUCUCUUCCAUCCACUCCAAUCAUCAGGUACCCCACAAUCUGGUAAUUCAAGAAUUACAACAUUCUUCAAGUUGAAAUCAGAGGGGAAACCACGGCAACGAGACAGCCUAAGCCAUCGGACAUUAGGAAGCAUUUCACUGAAGUCCCCAGGCAGCACAGUAACGUUCACGUCAAGGUACCUUAACCUUGACAACUUCUCAAAAUGUUUGCUCACAAUGUCAUGUCCCCAUGGCAUCCUAACCCUAAGCAUUUCGACUCGAUCAGUUGCCU
rnacentral:lncRNA from 1 species